GGAGUUAGGGCAAGUCGUGACCUCUCGGAUUCCAUGCCUUCAUCCCGAUAGGCAGCACCUCCCUCUCACGAUCUCAUUUUCCUUUGGAAAUCUGUUGCUAGGGCCGGCUGAAGAGGAAGAAGGCUGCUUGCACUUGAUGCCUACAGGAAGUUUACACGCCUCCAGCUGCUCUUUCCUUUUCUCCACCCGUCCAAGCAAGGGCAAGUGAUAUUCCUGCUUGAAAGAAGCACAUGGGGACUCCCAAACUUGAUCUGCAGGAAUGGAGUUAAGUUUUUUUUUUGGGCAACCGUACCUGCCAUGACUUGGUCUGGAGCACUUCUUUCUCUAGUGAGUGUUGCUAUGCUUGAAUAUGGCGGCUCUCCAUGUCACUAUAUGGAGAAAAUCGGCUACAUAUUUCAGCCAUUAAACAAGGUCUAGCAAAGAAAGGGAAUGCACGCGAGAGCAGCAACCGAUUUUCUGAUACCCAGCAAGAACAGCCGUUCUCUUUCUUGUGUAAGAAUAGCAACGCACAAAGAAGGAAUUGGCUGCUCAUAGAGAUCUCAUUGUUCUAAUAAAAGAAAAG